rnacentral:misc_RNA from 1 species
GAUGAAGAACGUAGCGAAAUGCGAUACGUAAUGUGAAUUGCAGAAUUCAGUGAAUCAUCGAAUCUUUGAACGCACAUUGCGCCUGCCAGCACUCUGGCAGGCAUGCCUGUUCGAGCGUCAUUUCAACCAUCAAGUCCUAGGCUUGCGUUGGAGCCCUGCGGCUGCCGCAGGCCCCUAAAAGCAGUGGCGGGCUCGCUAUCACACCGAGUGCAGUAGAUUACUCUUCGCUCAGGGCGUGUGGCGGGUUCCAGCCGUGAAACCCCCUACUUCUCAAGGUUGACCUCGGAUCAGGUAGGAAUACCCGCUGAACUUAAGCAUAUCAAUAAGCGGAGGA